rnacentral:rRNA from 1 species
GGGUGAGUAAUGCCUGGGGGAUCUGCCCAGUCGAGGGGGAUAACAGUUGGAAACGACUGCUAAUACCGCAUACGCCCUACGGGGGAAAGGAGGGGACCUUCGGGCCUUUCGCGAUUGGAUGAACCCAGGUGGGAUUAGCUAGUUGGUGGGGUAAUGGCUCACCAAGGCGACGAUCCCUAGCUGGUCUGAGAGGAUGAUCAGCCACACUGGACUGAGACACGGUCCAGACUCCUACGGGAGGCACAUGGGGAAUUUGCACAAUGGGGGAACCCUGAUGCACCUGCCGC